CCUACGGGUGGCAGCAGUAAGGAAUAUUGGUCAAUGGACGCAAGUCUGAACCAGCCAUGCCGCGUGGAGGAUGAAGGUCCUCUGGAUUGUAAACUUCUUUUAUUUGGGAAGAAACUCCCGAUUUCCAUCGGGAUUGACGGUACCAGAUGAAUAAGCACCGGCUAACUCCGUGCCAGCAGCCGCGGUAAUACGGAGGGUGCAAGCGUUACCCGGGUUAAAUGGUUUUAAAGGGUGCGUGUAUGUGAGGGGUGAAAUCUCCGGGCUUAACCCGGAAACUGCCAUUGAUACUAUUUGUCUUGAAUACUCUGGAGGUGAGCGGAAUAUGUCAUGUAGCGGUGAAAUGCUUAGAUAUGACAUAGAACACCCAUUGCGAAGGCAGCUCACUACGGAAAUAUUGACGCUGAGGCACGAAAGCGUGGGGAUCAAACAGGAUUAGAUACCCUUGUAGUC
rnacentral:rRNA from 1 species